rnacentral:rRNA from 1 species
GAGUUUGAUCCUGGCUCAGAUUGAACGCUGGCGGCAUGCCUUACACAUGCAAGUCGAACGGCAGCACGGGAGCUUGCUCCUGGUGGCGAGUGGCGAACGGGUGAGUAAUGCAUCGGAACGUAUCCUGGAGUGGGGGAUAACGUAGCGAAAGUUACGCUAAUACCGCAUAUUCUGUGAGCAGGAAAGCGGGGGACCUUCGGGCCUCGCGCUCUUGGAGCGGCCGAUGUCGGAUUAGCUAGUUGGUGAGGUAAAGGCUCACCAAGGCGACGAUCCGUAGCAGGUCUGAGAGGAUGAUCUGCCACACUGGAACUGAGACACGGUCCAGACUCCUACGGGAGGCAGCAGUGGGAAUUUUGGACAAUGGGGGCAACCCUGAUCCAGCCAUGCCGCGUGAGUGAAGAAGGCCUCGGUUGUAAGUACGUCUUCGUCGAGGAAGGAAAGUUAGUACGACCGGA